AACGAACGCUGGCGGCAGGCUUAACACAUGCAAGUCGAGCGCCCCGCAAGGGGAGCGGCAGACGGGUGAGUAACGCGUGGGAAUCUACCCAUCUCUACGGAAUAACGCAUGGAAACGUGUGCUAAUACCGUAUACGUCCUUCGGGAGAAAGAUUUAUCGGAGAUGGAUGAGCCCGCGUUGGAUUAGCUAGUUGGUGGGGUAAAGACCUACCAAGGCGACGAUCCAUAGCUGGUCUGAGAGGAGGAUCAGCAACACUGGGACUGAGACACGGCCCAGACUCCUACGGGAGGCAGCAGUGGGGAAUAUUGGACAAUGGGCGCAAGCCUGAUCCAGCCAUGCCGCGUGAGUGAUGAAGGCCCUAGGGUUGUAAAGCUCUUUCACCGGUGAAGAUAAUGACGGUAACCGGAGAAGAAGCCCCGGCUAACUUCGUGCCAGCCGCCGCGGUAAAAC
rnacentral:rRNA from 1 species